UGUUUAAAUUGGUUUUUGACUAAUGCCUUGAAGCGUACAAAGACAUUGUACACAUGGGAUUUCCGUUUAAGUGGAUAAUACCAAACGUACCGAGUAUAAUAAUCAACAAAGAUAACAUAAUAUUGAAAACCAUCAACAGAAUAGACAGGAGAGGUCCAUACAUCAGAAAAUAUAAGUUCAAGCGGAUGGAAUGAGGUUAAGGUAGAAAAAGAAAAAGAAAGUUUGUGACUUUUAUUACAUAACGGACUAGACAAUGGUAAAGAAAACUUGGAAACAAUAUUUUUCAUAAUAGUAAAUGAUGGAUGACCUAGUCUAGAGUGCCAGUCAGACAAAGUGGUCUUGACACUGGAAAAGGCAAGCAAUGGUGAGGAGGUAACUGAAGGGGAUGUGGUCGGCCACUCAUAUACGCCAUCCUUAGGUUCACCCAUCAAAAGGAUUGCCCCAGUGUUUAGAUCCUUCACCUGAAAAGCAGAGGGUGAGAAUUCAACAGAAACAUGGUUAUUAGUACAAAAUUGAUAAAUUGAAAGUAAGUUCUUUUUCAUGGAAGGGACACAAAGGACGUUUUGUAAAGUAAAGGUGCGAGAAGAACUAGGUAUGAUGGUAGAGCCGGUAUGGGUGAUGUGAAGGGCCGAUCCAUCGUCGAUAUGACAUCAUCAGAUCCCUGAUACGGGCUAUGAAGAGAGAGAUUGCUCAGGUCAGAUGUAACAUGGUGAGAUGCUCCACUAUCCAGCAGCCAAGUAGGAGUAGUGUUGUUGCCAAGGAUAGCAUGAUUGGCUCGUGGUUGCCAGGGUGUGGAGGGGCGAUAUCCACGAGAGCCUUGAGGACGAGGUGUCGGGGAUUGUUGAUUAGUGACAAGCCGAAACAUUGGCCAUCGUUUGGCAGUGUGUCCUUGAAUGCCGCAUGCUUGACAACUACCCAAAUAAGGUUUGGAUUGGCAUUGAUCAUGAGGAGAAACCAUAGUGGUAGUGCCUGAUUGUUGUGGAUUGGCAGUUGGUGGACUCCAACGUGGACGAUUCCGAAAGGCUGUGGGAUUUGCCGUUGCUGGUAAUGAUAGAGAAGAUGGUUGAGCGAUCUGAAGAGAUACUUCCUUGUUGAGAAGUUUCUCAUGGAGUUCAGCAAAAGAAAUUGAUGUGUCACGGGCAUUAAUUGCAUCAAUGACAGAUUUGUACUCAUCACUAAGUCCUUCUAGAACUCGAUCAAUAAGAUCCUCAUCAUAACUGGCUUUCCCAGAAGAGCGAGUUUAUCGCCUGCAUAUAUUCACUAAUUGAUUUUGAGCCUUUGUUACACCGCUUUAAUUGUUCCUUCAAUUGUUUAAUAUGACCACGGGAUGGUUUGGCAUAGGUGUGGGCUAAGGUUUGCCGUGCAUCAAGGGAAGUGGUGGUGCGGGCAAUAAGUGGUUGCAGUGAAAUGGAGAUAGCACCAAGGAGAGCGCUAAAGAUGAGAUGAUCUUGACGCUUCUAGUUUGUGUAUGUUGGAUUUGGGGGUGCAACACCAUUGGCAAUGACACUGGGUGAUGGUGGAGUGUGAGUGCCAUCGAUGAAGUGAUGAAGAUCAUAACCUUCAAGAAGUGAUUUGAUUUGAAGGCUCCAUGUGAGAUAAUUGGUGGAUGACAAUUUGGUCAUAUUGGAGAGAUUGAGUGUAAGGAGGGGAUGAUGAGGAUCCUGGGAGUUUUGGAUGGUGAUAGGGUCGUUGGUGGAAGAGGAGAUCGCUUCAGAAGCCAUUGAGGAAUUUUUUUUUUUUUUGAGCUGAUCGUGGUUGUCCGAAAAAAAAGAAGCCCAAAGAGAUUAAGAUCUUGAUACCAUGUUGAAAUAUAGAGAGGAAUAUUGAU
rnacentral:lncRNA from 1 species